AUUUGCUCAUUUUUAAAACUGUGGUUUGGACACCAGACACCUGAAAUUGGAAAUAAUUAAGCCAAGGAACUUGCCAUUUGCUGUCUGUACCAGCAGGAGUGACAUUCAGCCAGAAGCGUGAGGGCGUUUUCUGCAGGAUGCUGUGGAAACCUGGUUGAGCUCCUGGACUCACAUUAGGAGACAAUGAAGAAAUCAAAAUCAUCUUUCAUGAAGAAGUAAAAUACAACUAUAUCCAAUAGAUUGGAGAGGGGAGUGUGGAU